UCAGCUUUUGAUGUUAGGGUAUUGGCCUAACAUGGCUAUGACGGGUAACGGGGAAUUAGAGUUCGAUUCCGGAGAGGGAGCCUGAGAAAUAGCUACCACAUCUAAGGAAGGCAGCAGGCGCGUAAAUUACCCAAUUCUAAAGAAGAGAGGUAGUGACAAGAAAUAACAAUGCAAGGCCAAUUUUUGGUUUUGUAAUUGGAAUGGUGGGAAUUUAAAACCUUCCCAGAGUAACAAUUGGAGGGCAAGUCUGGUGCCAGCAGCCGCGGUAAUUCCAGCUCCAAUAGCGUAUAUUAAAAUUGUUGCAGUUAAAACGCUCGUAGUUGAAUUUCAAAGAAUCGAUAUUUUAUUGUAACUAUUCUAGGGGAACUAUUUUAGCUUUUGGCUUUAAUACGCUUCCUCUAUUAUUAUGUUCUUUAAAUAACAAAGAUUCUUUUUAAAAUCCCCACUUUUGCUUUUGCUUUUUUGGGGAUUUUGUUACUUUGAGUAAAUUAGAGUGUUCAAAGCAAACAGUUAAAGCAUUUACUGUGUUUGAAUACUAUAGCAUGGAAUAACAAAAUUGAACAAGCUAAAAUUUUUUGUUCUUUUUUCUUAUUUUGGCUUAGUUACGAUUAAUAGGAGUAGCUUGGGGACAUUCGUAUUCAGAUGUCAGAGGUGAAAUUCUUAGAUUUUCUGGAGACGAACAACUGCGAAAGCAUUUGUCUAAAAUACUUCCAUUAAUCAAGAACGAAAGUUAAGGGAGUGAAGACGAUCAGAUACCGUCGUAAUCUUAACCAUAAACUAUGCCGACUAGGUGUUGGAUGAAAGUGUUAAAAAUAAAAGUCAUCUUUCGAGGUGACUUUUAGAUUGCUUCCUUCAGUACCUUAUGAGAAAUCAAAGUCUUUGGGUUCUGGGGCGAGUAUUCGCGCAAGCGAGAAAGUUAAAAGAAUUGACGGAAGGGCACCACCAGGCGUGGAGCUUGCGGCUUAAUUUGACUCAACACGGGGAAACUCACUAGUUUAAGACAAGAGUAGGAUUGACAGAUUAAUAGCUCUUUCUUGAUUUCUUGGAUGGUGAUGCAUGGCCGUUUUUAGUUCGUGAAUAUGAUUUGUCUGGUUAAUUCCGAUAACGAACGAGAUCUUAACCUGCUAAUUAGCGGCGAGUACACUAUAUUCUUAUUUGAAAUUGAACAUAGGUAACUAUACAUUUAUUCAGUAAUCAAAUUAGGAUAUUUUUAUUAAAAUAUCCUUUUCCCUGUUCUACUAAUAAAUUGUUUUUUACUCUAUUUCUCUCUUCUUUUAAGAAUGUACUUGCUUGAUUGAAAAGCUUCUUAGAGGAACAUUGUGUGUCUAACACAAGGAAGUUUAAGGCAACAACAGGUCUGUGAUGUCCUUAGAUGAACUAGGCUGCACG
rnacentral:rRNA from 1 species